rnacentral:rRNA from 1 species
AGGACGAACGCUGGCGGCGUGCUUAACACAUGCAAGUCGAGCGGAAAGGCCUUUCGGGGUACUCGAGCGGCGAACGGGUGAGUAACACGUGAGUAAUCUGCCCAUCGCUUCAGGAUAGCCAUCGGAAACGGUGAUUAAUACUGGAUAUGACAUUCCUUCGCAUGUUGGGGUGUGGAAAGUUUUUUCGGCGGUGGAUGUGCUCGCGGCCUAUCAGCUUGUUGGUGGGGUAAUGGCCUACCAAGGCUUUGACGGGUAGCCGGCCUGAGAGGUGACCGGCCACACGUGGGACUGAGACACGGCCCAGACUCCUACGGGAGCAGCAGUGGGAA